rnacentral:rRNA from 1 species
CAGCCUAACACAUGCAAGUCGAACGCACCGCAAGGUGAGUGGCAGACGGGUGAGUAACACGUGGGAACGUACCCUUUGGUUCGGAAUAACUCAGGGAAACUUGAGCUAAUACCGGAUACGCCCUUUUGGGGAAAGGCUUGCUGCCGAAGGAUCGGCCCGCGUCCGAUUAGCUUGUUGGUGAGGUAACGGCUCACCAAGGCAUCGAUCGGUAGCUGGUCUGAGAGGAUGACCAGCCACAUUGGGACUGAGACACGGCCCAAACUCCUACGGGAGGCAGCAGUGGGGAAUAUUGGACAAUGGGCGCAAGCCUGAUCCAGCCAUGCCGCGUGAGUGAUGAAGGCCUUAGGGUUGUAAAGCUCUUUUACCUGGGAAGAUCAUGACGGUACCAGGAGAAUAAGCCCCGGCUAACUUCGUGCCAGCAGCCGCGGUAAU